UACGGGGGGGGCAAGCGUUGUUCGGAUUCAUUGGGCGUAAAGGGUGCGUAGGCGGCGCGGUAAGUCGGGGGUGAAAUCUCGGAGCUUAACUCCGAAACUGCAUUCGAUACUGCCGUGCUUGAGGACUGGAGAGGAGACUGGAAUUUACGGUGUAGCGGUGAAAUGCGUAGAUAUCGUAAGGAAGACCAGUGGCGAAGGCGGGUCUCUGGACAGUUCCUGACGCUGAGGCACGAAGGUCAGGGGAGCAAACGGG
rnacentral:rRNA from 1 species